UCGGAUAUGGUGUAACGGCUAACAUUGCCGCCUCUCACUGGUGGUAGAUCGCGGCAGCUCGGGGUUCGAUUCCCCGUAUCCGAA